rnacentral:rRNA from 1 species
GGAGGAUCCAAGCGUUAUCCGGAUUCAUUGGGUUUAAAGGGUGCGUAGGCGGAAUGAUAAGUCAGUGGUGAAAUCUCGGAGCUUAACUCCGAAACUGCCAUUGAUACUGUCAAUCUUGAGUACAUUUGAUGAGGGCGGAAUGUGUCAUGUAGCGGUGAAAUGCUUAGAUAUGACACAGAACACCGAUUGCGAAGGCAGCUCUCAAAACUGUAACUGACGCUGAGGCACGAAAGCGUGGGUAUCAAACAGGAUUAGAUACCCUGGUAGUCCACGCUGUAAACUAUGAUUACUCGAUGUUUGCGAUAUACUGUAAGCGUCUAAGCGAAAGCGAUAAGUAAUCCACCUGGGGAGUACGCUCGCAAGAGUG